rnacentral:rRNA from 1 species
GUGAGGAAUAUUGGUCAAUGGGCGCGAGCCUGAACCAGCCAAGUAGCGUGAGGGAUGACUGCCCUAUGGGUUGUAAACCUCUUUUGCAGGGGGGUAAAGUGGUUCACGUGUGGACCAUUGCAAGUACCCUGCGAAUAAGGAUCGGCUAACUCCGUGCCAGCAGCCGCGGUAAUACGGAGGAUCCGAGCGUUAUCCGGAUUUAUUGGGUUUAAAGGGAGCGUAGGCGGGGGUUUAAGUCAGCUGUGAAAUGCCGUGGCCCAACCAUGGAACUGCAGUUGAAACUGGACCUCUUGAGAGUACAUAAGGAAGGCGGAAUUCGUGGUGUAGCGGUGAAAUGCAUAGAUAUCACGAAGAACUCCGAUUGCGAAGGCAGCUUUCCGGGGUACAUCUGACGCUGAAGCUCGAAAGUGCGGGAAUCAAACAGGAUUAGAAACCCUAGUAGUCC